AGAGUUAAAUAGUACGUGAAAUUGUUGAAAGGGAAACGAUUGAAGUCAGUCAUGCUAGUGAAAAUUCAGUUUGGUGGGUUUUGGGUUCAGGAGUUGAGGCAGGGUCAAACCGUUUCUCUUUUGAACUUGGAAUUUGUCAGAUGCACUUUUUCUUUGGCAGGUCAGCGUCGAUUUCGGAGGUUGUAAAAUACUUGGGGAAAAGUAGCUCUGCUUCGGGAGAGUGUUAUAGACCUUGGGUGAUGCGGCCUGCGGGAUCGAGGAUUGCAGCAAAUGCUUUUGGCUUGUCGCCUGAUCUCUGGACGUCAUCUCGCUUGUAUCAACAUUCUUGGUACCGGUGAGUAAUGGUGCUCAUAGGUUAGAGCGAUCAAAAAUUUGCUAAGGAUGCUGACGUAAUGGCUUUAAACGACC
rnacentral:ncRNA from 2 species